rnacentral:rRNA from 1 species
AGUGAACGCUGGCGGUAGGCCUAACACAUGCAAGUCGAACGGCAGCACAGUAAGAGCUUGCUCUUACGGGUGGCGAGUGGCGGACGGGUGAGGAAUACAUCGGAAUCUACUUUUUCGUGGGGGAUCACGUAGGGAAACUUACGCUAAUACCGCAUACGACCUACGGGUGAAAGCAGGGGAUCUUCGGACCUUGCGCGAUUGGAUGAGCCUAUGUCGGAUUAGCUAGUUGGCGGGGUAAAGGCCCACCAAGGCGACGAUCCGUAGCUGGUCUGAGAGGAUGAUCAGCCACACUGGAACUGAGACACGGUCCAGACUCCUACGGAAGGCAGCAGUGGGAAAUAUUGGACAAAGGGCGCAAGCCUGAUCCAGCCAUACCGCGUGGGUGAAGAAGGCCUUCGGGUUGUAAAGCCCUUUUGUUGGGAAAGAAAAGCAGCAGGUUAAUACCCCGCUGUUCUGACGGUACCCAAAGAAUAAGCACCGGCUAGCUUCGUG